rnacentral:rRNA from 1 species
ACACGAAGCUGGAAUCGCUAGUAAUCGCGAAUCAGAAUGUCGCGGUGAAUACGUUCCCGGGUCUUGUACACACCGCCCGUCACACCAUGGGAGCCGACAACGCCCGAAGUCAGUGACCUAACCGAGAGGGAGGAGCUGCCGAAGGCGGGGUUGGUAACUGGGGUGAAGUCGUAACAAGGUAUC